GAAACAUGUCUAGCUUGCUAGAUGAUGUCGAGUGGCGGACGGGUGAGUAAUGCUUGGGAACUUGCCUUUGCGAGGGGGAUAACAGUUGGAAACGACUGCUAAUACCGCAUAAUGUCUUCGGACCAAACGGGGCUUCGGCUCCGGCGCAAAGAGAGGCCCAAGUGAGAUUAGCUAGUUGGUGAGGUAAAGGCUCACCAAGGCAACGAUCUCUAGCUGUUCUGAGAGGAAGAUCAGCCACACUGGGACUGAGACACGGCCCAGACUCCUACGGGAGGCAGCAGUGGGGAAUAUUGCACAAUGGGGGAAACCCUGAUGCAGCCAUGCCGCGUGUGUGAAGAAGGCCUUCGGGUUGUAAAGCACUUUCAGUUGUGAGGAAAAGUUAGUAGUUAAUACCUGCUAGCCGUGACGUUAACAACAGAAGAAGCACCGGCUAACUCCGUGCCAGCAGCCGCGGUAAUACGGAGGGUGCGAGCGUUAAUCGGAAUUACUGGGCGUAAAGCGCACGCAGGCGGUUUGUUAAGCUAGAUGUGAAAGCCCCGGGCUCAACCUGGGACGGUCAUUUAGAACUGGCAGACUAGAGUCUUGGAGAGGGGAGUGGAAUUCCAGGUGUAGCG
rnacentral:rRNA from 1 species